AACGAACGCUGGCGGCAUGCCUAACACAUGCAAGUCGAACGAAACCUUCGGGUCUAGUGGCGCACGGGUGCGUAACGCGUGGGAACCUGCACUUAGGUUCGGAAUAACUCCCCGAAAGGGGUGAUAAUACCGGAUAAUGUCUUCGGACCAAAGAUUUAUCGCCUUUGGAUGGGCCCGCGUUGGAUUAGCUAGUUGGUAGGGUAAAAGCCUACCAAGGCGACGAUCCAUAGCUGGUCUGAGAGGAUGAUUAGCCACACUGGGACUGAGACACGGCCCAGACUCCUACGGGAGGCAGCAGUGGGGAAUAUUGGACAAUGGGCGAAAGCCUGAUCCAGCAAUGCCGCGUGAGUGAUGAAGGCCUUAGGGUUGUAAAGCUCUUUUACCCGGGAUGAUAAUGACAGUACCGGGAGAAUAAGCUCCGGCUAACUCCGUG
rnacentral:rRNA from 1 species